UUCCGGUUGAUCCUGCCGGAGGCGACCGCUUUGGGAGUUCGAUUAAGCCAUGCGAGUCGUGAGUCUUAGGGACUCGGCAUACUGCUCAGUAACACGUGGAUAACCUGCCCUAUCGUCUGGAAUAACCUCGGGAAACUGAGAAUAAGGCCGGAUAGUUCACAAUGCCUGGAACGGUUUGUGAAUCAAGGUAGGAUGGGUCUGCGGCGUAUCAGGUUGUAGGGGGUGUAAAGGACCCCCUAGCCUUCGACGCGUACGGGUGUUGGGAGACAUAGCCCGGAGAUGGAUUCUGAGACACGAAUCCAGACCCUACGGGGUGCAGCAGGCGCGAAAACUUCACACUGCAGGAAACUGUGAUGAGGGAACUCCUAGUGCAUGCACUAUGUGUAUGUAGAUCCUACUCUUAACAAGUAGAGGGAAAGGGCUGGGAAAGACCGGUGCCAGCCGCCGCGGUAAUACCGGCAGCUCAAGUGGUCGUCGCUUUUAUUGGGCCUAAAACGUCCGUAGCCUGUUUGGUAAAUCUGUGGGUAAAUCAAUCCGCUCAACGGAUUGAAUUCUGCAGAGACUGCCAGACUAGGGACCGGGAGAGGUGUGGGGUACUCGAGGGGUAGGGGUGAAAUCCUGUCAUCCUUCGAGGACCACCAGUUGCGAAGGCGCCACACUGGAACGGAUCCGACGGUCAGGGACGAAGCCUAGGGGCACAAACCGGAUUAGAUACCCGGGUAGUCCUAGGUGUAAACGCUGUGAACUUGGUGUCGGGGGUCCGCAAGGGGUCCCCGGUGCCGGAGUGAAGAUGUUAAGUUCACUGCCUGGGGAGUACGGUCGCAAGGCUGAAACUUAAAGGAAUUGGCGGGGCAGCAC
rnacentral:rRNA from 1 species